rnacentral:rRNA from 1 species
UACGUAGGGCGCAAGCGUUGUCCGGAAUUAUUGGGCGUAAAGAGCUCGUAGGUGGCGUGUCGCGUCUGCCGUGAAAGCCCAUGGCUUAACUGUGGGUCUGCGGUGGAUACGGGCAGGCUAGAGGCUGGUAGGGGCAAGCGGAAUUCCUGGUGUAGCGGUGAAAUGCACAGAUAUCAGGAGGAACACCGGUGGCGAAGGCGGGUCUCUGGGCCGAAACUGACGCUGAGGAGCGAAAGCGUGGGGAGCAAACAGG